ACCCACAUCAUGUUGAAACACUUAUUCUUAUAUGAUCACUGAAGUUAAGCAAUGUCAAGCCUGGUCAGUAUCUAGAUGGGUGACUGCUUAGGAAUACCAGGUGCUGUAAG